rnacentral:lncRNA from 1 species
GUUGACUCAGGCCUCAACCCUUGCCCAGCCAAACUACUCGUGUGCCCCCCCAAAACAUUUUUUGGGGGCUGCCUCCCUUUUCUUCCAGAGUCAGUGACAAAAAUUAAAACAAAUAAAUCAGCUUCUUUGGGAGAAGAUGUUUAUUUGGUGUGCAAUGAAUCCAUGACGAACACAACUAAUCAAGUCAUCUGGAGAAAGGACACGGUUCUUAUUCUCUCUCAUUCCAAGGGGAAAAGAACUCACAGAAACUUCACCUCAGGCAGGAUGAGUGCUGACUCUCUUACUCCUACAGAGCUUAUUAUAUCUAUUGUAGAGCUAACUGACACCGGGACCUACAACUGUACUGUCACAGAUCGAAGGGGUGUUAAGACAAUGGAGUGGAAUUUGACUAUCACAGAUAACCUCAUAGAUAAUGCUGAAAAUGGCCUACAGAUGUUGUUGGUCUUCACAAUUCCGUCUGCUAUUGGAGGAGUGGCUCUGUUCAUUGGUAUCUGCUGUAUGGUCUGGCUGUGUAGGAAAAUAAAAAAAGAACAGACAAGUCAUUGUGAAAGGCGAGGAGAGGAGAGCAAUGCCCCAUCUCAAGGUCACGCUGCCCAAAGAGCACAACGCCAGCGGAGUCAGUACUUCGAAAGAUUCAACUCAGUCUACGGACAUUACUGAACACAUCAGAAGCAAUCAGAAGUUGAAUCAAUAACAAAUCACUCCCCACCUGUUUUGGUAAAAAUCUGAAGGAUGGGGCUGGAGAAAUGUAACCACUCUCAAAUUCCUGGACAGAGCUAUGGAUGCAAGGACUGAUUAUAUAACAAUUAUAGUUUUCACCAUGUUUUGAGGCACCAUGUUUGUUUACAUUUAGUUUGUUUGCAAACAUUGGAGUAAAAUAUUCUUAUAUAUCGAGUUCUGAUAGGGUAAAACAGCUGAACUAAGUUCAUGAGGCAUUUAUAAGUUAUAUUCUUCAAGAAUCAAUGGGUAUAUAUCACAAAUGUAUAAAUUGACAAAGCUACUGCAGAUUUCCCCUUUAAAGUGAAUUCACCUAUACCUCAUAAAGACCUUAUUUAUGUAAAUAAAUUAGGAAUGUGUGUAAACCUACUCUCUCCUCUGGCUAUGG